GGUCCGGUGGCUCAGUGGUAGAGCGGUGAGGAAUCUGACGAGAUCAGACAACUCUCACGGUCGGCAGUUCGAUUCUGCCCCGGAUCACCA
rnacentral:tRNA from 1 species